rnacentral:rRNA from 1 species
UGGGGAAUUUUGGACAAUGGGCGAAAGCCUGAUCCAGCAAUGCCGCGUGUGUGAAGAAGGCCUUCGGGUUGUAAAGCACUUUUGUCCGGAAAGAAAUCCUUGGCUCUAAUACAGUCGGGGGAUGACGGUACCGGAAGAAUAAGCACCGGCUAACUACGUGCCAGCAGCCGCGGUAAUACGUAGGGUGCAAGCGUUAAUCGGAAUUACUGGGCGUAAAGCGUGCGCAGGCGGUUUGCUAAGACCGAUGUGAAAUCCCCGGGCUCAACCUGGGAACUGCAUUGGUGACUGGCAGGCUAGAGUAUGGCAGAGGGGGGUAGAAUUCCACGUGUAGCAGUGAAAUGCGUAGAGAUGUGGAGGAAUACCGAUGGCGAAGGCAGCCCCCUGGGCCAAAUACUGACGCUCAUGCACGAAAGCGUGGGGAGCAAACAGGAUUAGAUACCCUGGUAGUCCACGCCCUAAACGAUGUCAACUAGUUGUUGGGGAUUCAUUUCCUAGUAACGUAGCUAACGCGUGAAGUUGACCGCCUGGGGAGUACGGUCGCAAGAUUAAAACUUAAAGGAAUUGACGGGGU